GACGAACGCUGGCGGCGUGCUUAACACUGCAAGUCGAGCGGUAAGGCCCUUUCGGGGGUACACGAGCGGCGAACGGGUGAGUAACACGUGGGUGACCUGCCCUCAGCUCUGGGAUAAGCCUGGGAAACCGGGUCUAAUACCGGAUAUGACUCCAUGACGCAUGUUGUGGGGUGGAAAGCCUUGUGCGGCUGAGGAUGGGCCCGCGGCCUAUCAGCUUGUUGGUGGGGUGAUGGCCACCAAGGCGACGACGGGUAGCCGGCCUGAGAGGGCGACCGGCCACACUGGGACUGAGACACGGCCCAGACUCCUACGGGAGGCAGCAGUGGGGAAUCUUGCGCAAUGGGCGAAAGCCUGACGCAGCGACGCCGCGUGAGGGAUGACGGCCUCG
rnacentral:rRNA from 1 species